rnacentral:rRNA from 1 species
GAUGAACGCUGGCGGCGUGCCUAAUACAUGCAAGUCGAGCGAACAGACGAGGAGCUUGCUCCUCUGACGUUAGCGGCGGACGGGUGAGUAACACGUGGAUAACCUACCUAUAAGACUGGGAUAACUUCGGGAAACCGGAGCUAAUACCGGAUAAUAUAUUGAACAGCAUGGUUCAAUAGUGAAAGACGGUUUUGCUGUCACUUAUAGAUGGAUCCGCGCCGCAUUAGCUAGUUGGUAAGGUAACGGCUUACCAAGGCAACGAUGCGUAGCCGACCUGAGAGGGUGAUCGGCCACACUGGAACUGAGACACGGUCCAGACUCCUACGGGAGGCAGCAGUAGGGAAUCUUCCGCGAGGGGCGAAAGCGUGACGGAGCAACGCCGCGUGAGUGAUGAAGGUCUUCGGAUCGUAAAACUCUGUUAUUAGGGAAGAACAAAUGUGUAAGUAACUAUGCACGUCUUGACGGUACCUAAUCAGAAAGCCACGGCUAACUACGUG